rnacentral:lncRNA from 1 species
UCCAAUAUAAAUUUGUUUUUAUUGAAGCAGCAGUCACAUGACUUUAUAUCUAGCCUUUAGAUUAGGCCUGACAGAGUGAGCCAGCCCUAAAAAAAAGAUGUUUCUUUUUGCACUAAGAGACAUAACAUGUUUACAUACAUCAUCCAGGAUUGGAAAUGAGCAGACUCAAGCACAUGUGUUGGUUACCUGGGAGGUACAGCCCCACUGUCUGUGGUGUUCAUAUAUUUUACAGAUACUCCCAAAGACCAUUACUAAUGGGAUGAAAGUUAAAAGAAAACACAGCUACACCAAACCGUGAACACAGUAAUCAAAGACAGCAGCUUACACACGUUUAAAAAACUUGUCCCUUUUAGGGAUUUUCUCUCUUCAAAGCAGUGUCUGCAAAGCUUCCUCUACAGCAAAUCCAAAGGUUUCCAAGAUGGAAGCUGCACCUCUUGGGGCUAUACAGUGGAAUAAGAUCAUUGGAAAGAAGAACUAGUGUUUGUAUCUUGAUUUUUAUAACAAAGAUUCAUGUUUCUCUAACUGGAGGAAUGGAGAUGGUGAUGUGACUACAUAUUGCAAUGACAAAAUAGGCAGGGUGAAGAAAAGAGGGUUGGGUACUGAAAGAAAGACCACACACUUGUGAAUUUUAAUUUCAUUUCCAGGCUAACCUACUUUUUAUUUAAUGCAAAUUACAGUACCAGUUAACUAUUUCCAAACCAAGUCACAUAGAACGAAAUGUAUUUACAAGGGAAUGGGGAAGGGGAAAAAAAACAUUGAGCAUACUUUUCACAAAAAAGUUUAUAUUUAAAAUGAAAAAAAAAAUCAGUCACAGAGGCAUUCAAGUAGUAAUAAUGUUAUACAGAUUUUGCUUUUCCUUUAUAUCAAGACAGAUUUGCACAAGUGUUUGCAAUAGUUUGUAUACAACCCACAGUCCUUUAUAUAUAUAUAUAUAUAUAUAAUAAAUUUUGUUUUUUAGAUUUGUUUUUAAGAUGGAAGUGGUCACGCUAAUUGGUAUGUGUACAGGCCCAAGUGAUCCAUCGGCAACACAUUAGAAAUGCAAAUUUUACAGGCAAGCACAUUUUCAUACAUCUAUCUGUAUCUGCCUGUAGACAGAUAUAUAAGAAAAAAAACUUAAAAAUUAACACAAGGAAGUCUACUUUGUCAAGCUAACCCCUUAUGUACUGGUUGUCAUUUUGCUUUUAUUGCAAAGGUGCAAAACGGAGCAACAAACUUGAACAAAAGUCAUAACCCUUGUGAAAAUAAUCCAAACCCCAGGGAUUACUUUCAAAGCCUCUCAAACGUAGAACUUAGUCUGGGACUCUACUGUGCUUCUAGUUGUCUCUCUCAUUUUCAGUGGCUCAGGAUUCUACCCGAAAAGACAGAUUUUCUUGUAAAGCACGCUUAGUUUAUUCUUCUAUAUAGGGAGAAAGUGUUCGGCUCUGUGAUUAGAGGAUCACUAACAUGAACAAGAGGAGUCAGAUACCAUCUUGAUUUAAAAUAAAGAAAAAUCCCCAGACCCCUGGGGAUCUGGCAUUGGCCAAACUUCCUUUGGAAGAUUCCAAAGUUAAAUCCUUUAAAAAGGCAAGGGAAAAAAAAAAUGAAAUGCCAGUGUCUUUAUAUCCACAGGGAUAGAGAAUACAAUAGUCCUCUCAGAAACCUUUGCAUUGGUGCAGACAAGAUGACUGGUUAGGCAGGCUUUGUUAAAAUACAAACCAAGAAUAUGUGUCUAAAAAUUAGGAGGACUUAAAAAAAUGACAGAACAUGUCACUGGAAAGAAGGUGCAGUCUUCUGCCUUGCUGGAAUGAACACAUGAUGUUUCAAAAAUAGCAACCUUUGGUUUGGUAAAGUUUUUCUCUUCUACUCAAGACAUCUUAUAUGGAGUACUUGGAGGCAAAACAAAUCAUCUUGACUUUUUUUUCAAAAAAAGGCCUUCAUGAUGGGCACACAGUAAGAAUUACACUGAUUUUUAAAAAAAGAAAUUAAAAAAUAAUGACAUUUCAUUGAAUGGGGUGGAGGUGGGGGGAGGAAGGGAGGGGCUGAAACCACAGUCCUCUACGGGCCCGGCACGCUCCGGGCAGUAACCGCACUAGAGCAUUUUAGACCACUGACGUAUCAAAACCUGAUACUAUUACAAAAUUCUGAUUUAUAAAAACCAGUUCUCUCUCUCUCUCUCAUUUGGGAGGGAAAUAGCUGAGGAGGAGAGAGAGAGCAUGGAAGGUUCCCGCAAUCUGCUGUUUGUAAGACCCACGGGUUAGAGUUUGGGGAAGAGACGAGUAAAAUCUAAUCUAUUCGCUAUCCUUCAGCUCUAGGGCUCCCUGGCACUACUCUAAGUCCCUGGAUGAACUAAGUGUGAAAUGGAACCGGUCACUGCUACUGAUGAGGAAACAAACGUUCAGAAUCAGAACAAAGGCAGGGCUUGAAUGAAACGAGAUUGUGAACGUGGUUCCCCCUUUCCGCUUCUGAGCAUGGCAUCACUGAAACUUAACUGUGGAAGGGGCAGAGACACUGUGUUGGGAGUGAGCUAUUAUCUCAAGGGGAAACGGGGGGGACAGGGAGACAUGGAUAGAGGAAGCAAUUAAAAUUUAAAAAUGAAAAACAAAAACAAAAAAAACAAACACAUGGCAGUGAAGGCACUCCAAACUAUAUAGAUACACUAUACAUUGCUAGAGUUAUUGUUACAAUAAUACAGGCCGGUACCUACUGUACAGAGUUAAAACUAUAUGGCUUUAAAAAGCUCGUCUACAUUUUGUCUGAUUAUUAAACAGAAUCACUGCCCUGAACAGUAACUUUUUGCUCAUUAAUAACAGUUCCUGGGUCCACAUAUUUACAUACAAAACAAUAAAACUUAAAUUUAAAAACAUUGAAAGAAAAUAUAAUGUACAAGCUUGAAUUUGGUGAGGAGCUUUUUAUUAUUAUUAUUAUUAUUUACAAAAAGAUAUUCAGAGACCUGGAUCUCACUUGUAUAAAAGAGUUCUGUGAUCCUGACAUGAUCUUUGAGAAAGAAAAACCACGCACCUCAGCCCUCACACACAAAUAAGAGAAAAGCAUUUGACUUUUCUCUCUUCUCUUACUCCAUUUAUACGGGGCAAGGGGGGAGUGUUUCCUAAAACAAGCACAGAUUUUUAUGGACUCCAGCAAGUAUACCAAGUCCGGAGUAGCGUCUGUGUCCAAAUGUUUGGCUGGGCUGUUUGGUCUGAAAGCAGUUCUAUUUCUCUGUCACAGACCUGCUGUUCAAUUUCUUUAUAAAUCCUUCUUGAAAAUGGUCUAUCAAAGCCAUUCCCUUUAGGAAUUAUGCUGCCAAAUACUUUGAUUCAGACUGCAUUCAAAUCUUGAUGAGCUCUCAGAAGCUUGCUAUGAAAAGUAAAGUUCAAUUUGUUCGAUUUGGUUUGAGUGAGUGUGUGUCCUUUCUCAUGAACUCUGACAUAAUCAGAGGUUUGAGAAACCCCUUUUGUGGCCUAAGAGCUUAGCUAAACAGUGAGUGAAACGAAGAUGGCUCACAGUUGCCUUUCUGGUAUUGGUUCACUUCAGCAGGCAGUAGGACUCUUUGAGAGUCACACACACUUGGUUAAGAAGCAGGACAGGGUGCUGGGACCUGCAUGAGGGCUGCCAAGAGACUCACUUCCAAAUCACCUGGAGGGCAAGACCCCUAACAUGACCUAAGGUGGCAAUGAGGAGGGGCGAAGGUUACACACAAUCUAGGGACUCAGCUCUGCAGCCCUACGGCUAUCAGCUAACCGUGGAAGGCGUGCGGGGAGGGAGCGGGCAGGAGGGACAGGUGGCCAUCACUCAAGUGAUCUUUAAAUGUAAAGUAGAACUGAUUGUGCCUUAAAGAUUCAUAGGUCAAGUAAUGGCCCAGAAGCACCAAGGUGACUAAGGUUCAUUUUAGAGUAUAUAAGGCCCACAUAGAUGUCAACCUUAAAAGUAUAAAACAAAGUUGUUGUGAAAUCUAUUUACUCACUGCAAACAUAAUCCUUUAAUCCUCCUUGCUUUCCAAGGAAUAUUGCUUUUUCUUCAAAAACAGAGACUGAUUCUUACACCAUUCACUGACACACAAAGAAAACAAACAAAAACUCUUAACUGGGUGUGGGGGAAACAUUCUUCUUCUUAAGCUUCAACCAGUUGAUUUUGAUACUGUGGACAAAAAAACAAAAAAGGCAGUAUUGAAUCUAUGUAUAUAUAACAUAUAUACACAUAUUUAUAUAAUCAGCUUUCCUAUAAAGUCAGCAGGUACGAGUGACUGUUUAUAUCAUGUUGACGUGUCGUUUUUAAGAUUCCUACCAUCUAAAAUCAUAGUGGCCUAUCUGACAUGCAUCAAUAAAUAAAAUUUAAAAAGCAUGAGGUUAAAAAAAAGCUGAAAUUAAAUACAAAUUCUAGAUUUGGAUUUAAAAUUAGAACUACGUGCAGAAUGCGGCAAUUUCUGCAAGCUCGAUUUGCAAUUAAAAAAUAUGAAAAAUAAACCAGUAGACUGUUACAGUUCACAUUAUUUAACUAUAAUGUCCUCUCAAGUGAAUCUUUGCAAGGGAAGCAACUUUAGAAAACAAUCUGGACAACUUCAUCCACAGUGGUGAGAUGUGCCCCUGGCCUGUCCUUUCCUCCAGGUCCGUCGGCUUUUGACCUCUGCAGCCAGAGUGGCCAGCUCAACACCUUUUUCAGUCUUCUCCUAGGUCAUCAGUUCAAAACUACUGAGAUCUGCACGGAACCUUUGGUCAGGCAGAGACCCACCCGUGGAGCGCGCGUGCUCCUCCUCUGGCAGCCUCCUACUGAGUUUCUUCACCACUAGCACUAAUUCAGAGCAAAACAAAACCUUAACAAAUCAAUGAAGAAUCUUCCCCUUAUAGUUUCAAAUUUUAUUGACCUCCCUGGGUUACAAAUGAUACACAUUUCCUUUUUUGUCUGCCACACCUGCCACCAACAUGACAAAGGCAAGUCUUCAAACACCCGAGGAUAUGGAUUAAUUUUACAAGUGACAUUUAAGUCCCCACUGAGUUACAUCUGCUAAGCUCCCAACCAAUUUCAAGCUGUGCACUAUACCAAAGUCUUACACUUGACUUUAGAAGAAAACAAAGUUCAAAAAAACUUCAGCACAGAACAACGUUUUCUUAUUUUGUGGAAGGGGCAUGAGGCAGGAGUCCUGUUUUUAAAGUAUACAACAGCAGACUUUUGAUAAAAAAAGAUUGUCGUGGGAGAGAUUGUGUGUUCUAGUGCUCCGCUUUC